UCAUGAAAAUGACUAUAAAACUUCUUGGCAAAUGGGAGUACUUUGGAAUAUUUAGGGAAAAUUGUCCGAUAGGAGACAGGACUAAAGUGCGGCUCCCACUUGGAUAAAUCAAACAGCAUGUGGAGACUCACGUUGUGAAUUUUUGCUCCAAGAACUCCCUCAGGAAAAUACCAGAAAAACCAAAAGAAUUCAGAGACCCUUUGAAAAAAGUGACUUGCCACUCCAAACUCCAUGAGACAGCUAAAAAACUGUGCUGUCUGUACACAGAGAGUUUUGUCUGGUCGCCGGUGUAUCUUCAGUGCCCAGAACAGUGCAUGGCAAUGGCAGACUCUCAAAUGAUGGUUUAAAGAGGGCUGUCUUUUCCAAGGCCCACCACCUGCUUCACAG